CCUACGGGAGGCAGCAGUGGGGGAUAUUGCACAAUGGGGGAAACCCUGAUGCAGCGACGCCGCGUGAGUGAAGAAGUAUCUAGGUAUGUAAAGCUCUAUCAGCAGGGAAGAAAAUGACAGUACCUGACCAAGAAGCCCCGGCUAACUACGUCCAAGCAGCCGCGGUAAUACGUAGGGGGCAAGCGUUAUCCGGAUUUACUGGGUGUAAAGGGAGCGUAGACGGUUAUGUAAGUCUGGAGUGAAAGCACGGGGCCCAACCCCGGGACUGCUUUGGAAACUGUGUAACUGGAGUACGGGAGGGGCAGGCGGAAUGCGUGGUGUAGCGGUGAAAUGCGUAGAUAUCAGGAAGAACACCGACUGCGAAGGCAGCCUGCUGGACUGAAACUGACGUUGAGGCACGAAAGCGUGGGGAGCAAACAGGAUUAGAUACCCUUGUAGUC
rnacentral:rRNA from 1 species